GCAAGUCGAACGGCAGCGGGCCCUUCGGGGUGCCGGCGAGUGGCGAACGGGUGAGUAAUGCAUCGGAACGUACCCGGGGGAGGGGGAUAACCGGCCGAAAGGCUGGCUAAUACCGCAUGAACUCGGAAGAGCAAAGCGGGGGACCUGCAGGCCUCGCGCUCUCGGAGCGGCCGGUUCCGAUUAGGCUAGUUGGUGGGGUAAAGGCCCACCAAGGCGACGAUCGGUAGCGGGUCUGAGAGGACGAUC
rnacentral:rRNA from 1 species